UUCGGAAUCUUGAGAGCGGCGCACGGGUGCGGAACACGUGUGCAACCUGCCUUUAUCUGGGGGAUAGCCUUUCGAAAGGAAGAUUAAUACCCCAUAAUAUAUUGAGUGGCAUCACUUGAUAUUGAAAACUCCGGUGGAUAGAGAUGGGCACGCGCAAGAUUAGAUAGUUGGUGAGGUAACGGCUCACCAAGUCAAUGAUCUUUAGGGGGCCUGAGAGGGUGAUCCCCCACACUGGUACUGAGACACGGACCAGACUCCUACGGGAGGCAGCAGUGAGGAAUAUUGGACAAUGGGUGAGAGCCUGAUCCAGCCAUCCCGCGUGAAGGACGACUGCCCUAUGGGUUGUAAACUUCUUUUAUACUGGGAUAAACCUACCCUCGUGAGGGUAGCUGAAGGUACAGUAUGAAUAAGCACCGGCUAACUCCGUGCCAGCAGCCGCGGUAAUACGGAGGGUGCAAGCGUUAUCCGGAUUUAUUGGGUUUAAAGGGUCCGUAGGCGGACUCGUAAGUCAGUGGUGAAAUCUCAUAGCUAAACUAUGAAACUGCCAUUGAUACUGCGGGUCUUGAGUAAAGUAGAAGUGGCUGGAAUAAGUAGUGUAGCGGUGAAAUGCAUAGAUAUUACUUAGAACACCAAUUGCGAAGGCAGGUCACUAUGUUUUAACUGACGCUGAUGGACGAAAGCGUGGGGAGCGAACAGGAUUAGAUACCCUGGUAGUCCACGCCGUAAACGAUGCUAACUCGUUUUUGGGUUUUCGGAUUCAGAGACUAAGCGAAAGUGAUAAGUUAGCCACCUGGGGAGUACGUUCGCAAGAAUGAAACUCAAAGGAAUUGACGGGGGCCCGCACAAGCGGUGGAUUAUGUGGUUUAAUUCGAUGAUACGCGAGGAACCUUACCAAGGCUUAAAUGGGAAUUGACAGGUUUAGAAAUAGAUCCUUCUUCGGACAAUUUUCAAGGUGCUGCAUGGUUGUCGUCAGCUCGUGCCGUGAGGUGUUAGGUUAAGUCCUGCAACGAGCGCAACCCCUGUCACUAGUUGCCAUCAUUCAGUUGGGGACUCUAGUGAGACUGCCUACGCAAGUAGAGAGGAAGGUGGGGAUGACGUCAAAUCAUCACGGCCCUUACGCCUUGGGCCACACACGUAAUACAAUGGCCGGUACAGAGGGCAGCUACUAUGCGAAUAGAUGCGAAUCUCGAAAGCCGGUCUCAGUUCGGAUUGGAGUCUGCAACUCGACUC
rnacentral:rRNA from 1 species